rnacentral:rRNA from 1 species
GCUAGCUGUAUGCCUAACACAUGCAAGUCGUACGAGAGUUUUUAACUCUAGUGGCGGACGGGUGAGUAACACGUGAGAAUUUACCUUUAGGAGGGGGAUAACAAUUGGAAACGAAUGCUAAUACCCCAUAUGCUUUCGAGUGAAAUGGAUUUAUAUUUAUUCGCCUAGAGAGAAGCUCGCGGCUGAUUAGCUUGUUGGUAAGGUAAGAGCUUACCAAGGCGACGAUCAGUAUCUGGUUUGAGAGGACGAUCAGACACACUGGAACUGAGACACGGUCCAGACUCCUACGGGAGGCAGCAGUGGGGAAUUUUCCGCA